ACAUGCUUACAUCAUAACAUUAAUGCAGCAGAUUCCAUUAGAACUCCAUAGUUAAGUGCGCUUGGGAUAGACUAGUAUUGGGAUGGGUGAUCGCCCGAUCGAGAAGUCCUAGUGUUUUACAUGCC
rnacentral:rRNA from 1 species